rnacentral:misc_RNA from 1 species
GUGUUGCUUACCUGCGGAAAGGAAUUCGAUGGUUGUGGUUUCCCCAUUCGCCUUGCGCCCUUCGGGGUGCGGGGUGGACGCGAGGCGGGCUCCGUGUUCCCCGCGUGCCGAGUGCGUUGACGCUCGGCCGCUGUGGCCCAUGUGGUCUCGGCCCGUGCUCUCGGAUGCGGAAUGCUGUGUGUGGGCGUGGGGUCUCGGCCUCUGUUCGUCCGGGCUGCACGCAUUGUCCCUUGACGCGAACGACCGUCGCUCCCGUCUUGAUCGGCCGACCGAGCCCCCGUCGCGGGGCUCCGGGAGGGCGGCUCAUGC